rnacentral:rRNA from 1 species
GACGAACGCUGGCGGCGUGCUUAACACAUGCAAGUCGAAUGAUGAAGCCGGAGCUUGCUCUGGUGAAUUAGUGGCGAACGGGUGAGUAACACGUGAGUAACCUGCCCUUGACUCUGGGAUAACUGCUAGAAAUGGUAGCUAAUACCGGAUACGACCCUCGGCGGCAUCGCCAGGGGGUGGAAAGAAUUUCGGUCAAGGAUGGACUCGCGGCCUAUCAGCUAGUUGGUGAGGUAACGGCUCACCAAGGCGACGACGGGUAGCCGGCCUGAGAGGGUGACCGGCCACACUGGGACUGAGACACGGCCCAGACUCCUACGGGAGGCAGCAGUGGGGAAUAUUGCACAAUGGGCGCAAGCCUGAUGCAGCGACGCCGCGUGAGGGAUGACGGCCUUCGGGUUGUAAACCUCUUUCAGCUAUGACGAAGCGCAAGUGACGGUAGUAGCAGAAGAAGGACCGGCCAACUACGUGCCAGCAGCCGCGGUAA